rnacentral:rRNA from 1 species
ACGAACCGAGCGAACGUUAUUCGGAAUCACUGGGCUUAAAGCGUGUGUAGGCGGCGGGCUAAGUACCUUGUGAAAUCCCACGGCUUAACUGUGGAACUGCUGGGUAUACUGGUUCGCUUGAGCGGUCUAGGGGCGAGCGGAACAAAUGGUGGAGCGGUGAAAUGCGUAGAUAUCAUUUGGAACGCCAACGGUGAAAACAGCUCGCUGGGGACCUGCUGACGCUGAGACACGAAAGCCAGGGGAGCGAACGGGA